AUUGAACGCUGGCGGCAUGCUUUACACAUGCAAGUCGAACGGUAACAGGUUAAGCUGACGAGUGGCGAACGGGUGAGUAAUGCAUCGGAACGUGCCCGGUCGUGGGGGAUAACGCAGCGAAAGCCGCGCUAAUACCGCAUACGAUCUGAGGAUGAAAGCGGGGGACCGUAAGGCCUCGCGCGAUCGGAGCGGCCGAUGUCAGAUUAGGUAGUGGGUGGGGUAAAGGCUCACCAAGCCGACGAUCUGUAGCUGGUCUGAGAGGACGACCAGCCACACUGGGACUGAGACACGGCCCAGACUCCUACGGGAGGCAGCAGUGGGGAAUUUUGGACAAUGGGCGCAAGCCUGAUCCAGCAAUGCCGCGUGCAGGAAGAAGGCCUUCGGGUUGUAAACUGCUUUUGUACGGAACGAAAAGGCUCUCUCUAAUACAGGGAGCUCAUGACGGUACCGUAAGAAUAAGCACCGGCUAACUACGUGCCAGCAGCCGCCGUAACAC
rnacentral:rRNA from 1 species